UACGAAGGGGGCUAGCGUUGCUCGGAAUCACUGGGCGUAAAGGGUGCGUAGGCGGGUCUUUAAGUCAGGGGUGAAAUCCUGGAGCUCAACUCCAGAACUGCCUUUGAUACUGAAGAUCUUGAGUUCGGGAGAGGUGAGUGGAACUGCGAGUGUAGAGGUGAAAUUCGUAGAUAUUCGCAAGAACACCAGUGGCGAAGGCGGCUCACUGGCCCGAUACCGACGCUGAGGCACGAAAGCGCGGGGAGCAAACAGG
rnacentral:rRNA from 1 species